GCCAGUGUGGUGUAGUGAUUUGAACAUUGUUGGACUAUGACUCUGGAGACCAGGGUUCAAAUCCCUGCUCAGCCA